AAGCAGAUACUAACAAGCUAAUUGUUAUUGUGCAAAAUAAAAAAAGUUUAAGUAAAAAGCUUCUUUUGGUCACUGAAAAGAAGAUCAUAUGUGCAAAGGUGCAAUAUCAUUAAAUAUUUGAAAAUUAGAUUUUGUAAAACUAUACUUUGUAAUAGCCUUACUUAGAUUUGGUUUGCUGACCUGCUGUUGCUGUUCUUGUUGUAUUGCACAGUUCAAACAAGUGUUGUGCCAAGUCGUAUGAAAGUUAUAUUGUCUUUUUAUUCGAGAACGUGGCCUUUCGGUUUGAGAGCAUGAUUUCUUAAAUGUAGUCACUGUAUAUGACACACAACAUUUCUCUCAUUCAGAUCUUCAUUUUGUUGUUCUUGUUUUAUGAUUGUUGACAUCCAGCUUAAUGGUAAAUUACUGCCACCUUCUGUUCCAGAAUGUGAAUUACAGCACCUCUUUCAUUAUACAGGAGCAGCUCGUCAUGCAUGUAGAUGGUGCCAUCUUGUGGUCAUCAAUCACAAUGCAGUAUUUUUUUCAUAUAAGUCACUCCGGAAUAUAAAUUGCAUUACCUCCCAAAGUAGAUUAAGAAAAACAGAAUUGAUAGUCAUGAAAAAUACUGGGGAGGGGGGCGGGGGGAUUUGUAAUUGAACAGAUGCACUUUGCCUUUGUGCAAAUAUGUAUCACUGAGGAUGUUGCAUUGAGUUUUUGGAGGGGAAACUCUUCCUGCAGAGGCACUCUGAAUUUUAUUCCAAAAUUCUCCUGAUUCAGACUUUAUGUUCUUAUAUUAAUAUUCAUAUCCUCUGCCCCUGACUGCAAAUGUGUUUAUCCUUUCCAACAAUUCACAACUCAGGUAUCUUCUUUCCAUACUUUUUCAUCCUUGUUUUUAAAGAAGGAAGCUUUUUUUUUUUCAUCUUUUAUGUUCCUGUGAAUAAUAUAUGCCCCUCCCUUUUUUGUGGCUCUCACUUUCCUCAAAAAUGUAAUUUUAUUUCCUGCAACCAACUGUAGUUGUCGUCUUCUCCUUUGAAGUGUGCCGUCAUCUUUUUCAGUCACUGUAAGAUUUGAUACCCUGAAUACACCGUGCAUCCUAAUCUAAUAUAUUGCAGCACAAACCUAAAACGUUAUUCACUGAAAUUGGAGAAACUUCCCAAAUAAAUAAAUGGAAUGAAGUAAGGCUGAACAGCGAGGAUGAAGAUGACAAUGAGCAGUAAAUUGAAAUACUGAAAAGUGGAGUUUUGUGUUGGAAACUGAGGACAGAUAUGGGGUGCUGUGAGUGGAUUAUCAGCCAAGGAGCAUCAGCGGGAUGAUGUGAAGGAGGAAAUGUUUGGGGAAGAAAAAGGGAUGAUGAUGAGGAGGAGCAGGAGGAGGAGGACAAAAAGAAGCACAGAGCUUCUCCUUUGCUGAGUUUCUAAAUCUCAUCUUCCUCUACACGAAGAGGAAAAUGUCAAACUCAAGGUCGCCGCUGCUCCUCCGUCUCCCUCUGCAGGAUUCACCGUGGUAAAGAAAGAUAAGUGGGAGAAACGGUGACAUUACAUCUGGGACUCACCAAAACGUUAUUCGAUGUGCGUUGCCUUCACACGCUGAUGAUGCCAAUCAUUACAGAAGAGACGUCCGUGGUUAGUGAGCAAGAACUUCCAAACCCAAAAGAAACCACAGUGUGGAGCUCUGAGUGUAGCAGCCAGAGCGCCUUAAACCACUUCACCACGAGGCUUCAUGUGUUGCAUUUUCAUUCCUUUUAUGCUUUUUCCAGUCGCCAUUAUUUUUAAAAACACUAUGCAAAGUGAGGGUUGGUCCAUCAUGAUGUCCAUCAGCUCCAGUCGAGUCUGAUCCAGUGUACUGCUGGACUGCCCCGCUGACGCCUGAAACAUAUCAGAAACAUCUGCCCCGUCCUGUCGGUCUGACGUGACCCCACAUCAUAUCAAGGUUCACAUCUUUGGACAGAUCUCAGCUGAGCCGCUCACAUUCAUUGCCAACUUUUGAUGGAACUUUCACAACAAAUGACGCGACGGAAAGCCCUCAAAAAAAAAUAAAAAAAUGUAAAGGAGAAGUUCCUGAAUGUGAGGACAUGUGUGAGGCCCUCGCUCUCUUUCUCAUGUGGCAUACGAUAUCUUGGCCUUCCUGUUCCCCGCAUCCCAACACUGCUGCAGCUUCUCUUCAGCAAAACUGCAUGGCAUGAAUGAAACCAAUCCAAACCAAAGAAGGACCAUCAAAGACACCAUAAUUUAAAAAAAGAGGGAAAAUAUGCUCUGAGAAGAGAGAGAGGGGCUUUUAUUGAUUCAACAUUGCUACUUCAAAGUCACACCAUCAUCGCUGUCAUUUGAACUUCCUUCCACCUAAACAACUGGCUGCUAAUGUGCAAAACAGCAAAUUCUGCACAAACUGCUCUACUUCUGAAGGCAUGAUGAUGGAUGAGGACGUUCUGCAGACCAUACACUCUAUACCUCUGGGGAUGUGAGAAAAUAAAAUUAAGAAAGUACGUAUUCAGCAGGACAGGGAGAACAUCUUUGAGGAACUAUUCUUGGGGACAGACACACAAAAAAAAGGCAAAGAUUGCAAAAUGCAUUUUUUUUUUUUUCCUGGAAAUUGUUUACCAGCAUGAAUCUUCUGCAUGAACUGACUUCUGCAAGCCAUUCUGGUCUCCCCCAUUAAAAAAA